ensembl:lncRNA
CAUCAAGUGAAGUCAUACCGGGCGGCAACACGUGGAGAACUGGAGUUUGGAAACGACUGUACAAGUUAACAUGGAAGGACAAAAUUACUUGCUGGAGUUUCUGGAGGACCGAGGAAUUUAACAAGACAUUCUGGAUAUACUGAAAAAAGACAAGAUUGAUUCUUCAGUACUGACAUUAAUGUCAGAGGAUAAUCUCUCCAAAUACAUCCCCCAUUAUGGGGAUAGACUGGCUGCUAUCGUGUUCUGCCGCAGACAUUCACAAUCUGCCGCAGGAACAUCUACACAUUCACAACCUGCCGCUGGAACAUCUACACAAGGACUUCUAGAAAGAGUAAGAGCAAAGUACUCUUCCCCAGAUAGGCC